UGGGGAAUUUUGGACAAUGGGCGCAAGCCUGAUCCAGCCAUGCCGCGUGAGUGAAGAAGGCCUUCGGGUUGUAAAGCUCUUUCGGUUGGGAAGAAAUUGCUUCGGAUAAUACCCGGAGUAGAUGACGGUACCAGCAUAAGAAGCACCGGCUAACUACGUGCCAGCAGCCGCGGUAAUACGUAGGGUGCGAGCGUUAAUCGGAAUUACUGGGCGUAAAGCGUGAGCAGGCGGUUGUGUAAGUCAGAUGUGAAAGCCCCGGGCUCAACCUGGGAACUGCAUUUGAGACUGCACGGCUAGAGUGUGGCAGAUGGGGGUAGAAUUGCGCGUGUAGCAGUGAAAUGCGUAGAGAUGCGGAGGAACACCGAUGGCGAAGGCAGCCCCCUGGGCCAACACGGACGUUCAGGCACGAAAGCGUGGGGAGCAAACA
rnacentral:rRNA from 1 species